UCCCAUCUCUCCGCAAAAUCAGCCAAUCAAACCCAUCAAUCAAGCUAUUCAAUCCCCGUUUCCAGCCUGCCCGGCCUCCACCCCCCGGCCGGCUGCCACCGCCGCCUCCUCCCGUGAUCCCGUCAGCGGCGCACCCCCGACCGCGCGGCCGCAUCCGCAAGGCCUCUGCAUCGCCGUUGCUGGCGAGCAUCCUCGAGCGCCACCUGCACAAGGACAGGGAGAGUGGCAAGGCUGGCCGGCCUGUUGAUCCGCGGCGCCACCGACAACGCAGCUCGUCCGCCUCCUUGACGCCAGCAGACCAGACCGGUCUAACCGGUCGACCCGACCGGUCAGACCGAUCGGCCUCGGCAGGUGCCAAAUUUGGCUGUCAACAGGGAGCUGCUUGUGGCCGAUGGUUCUGGGCUCUCUGCCCUUCCUGUCAUCAGCAGCUCAGUGGGCACCUCCGCUGCCAUCCGGUAUAGAUCAAUAAGGUAUGCAGACAUCAGAUUUGGAAUUGACAUAAUUUUGUGGCUGAUCUGAUUUGGAUUAAUGGCGUUCGUGAGUUUCCCUUGGAUCUCUGUAGGUUAGAUUAAUGGUGUUGUCUGUGUUCUCUCUACAAUGGCCAUUAUAGCUCGUGUAUAAAGCUCUUGACAGGUUUGAGAAAGCACAUCACAAGCAAAUUUGAGGUGCUAAUAUUGUAAGUUGCCUCCCUGGUUGUGUAAACACUUUUGUAUAAGCUCCCUGGAUCAUGCCAGCAUUGGUUGUUUGCAGCCAUAUGUUCGAGACAAACAACUCAGUUUGUUUAACUUCUUGCAUUUCCUUCAUGAAUAAAUUUGUCCAAGGUAGUAGGAGCUUACUGCAAACUCUAUGUCUCCACCGUAGGCCUGAGUUAAAUAUAUGGUCUUGAUUCUUGAUACAAUAGAGAAAGGCUCAACCAUAUAUUUGCGAGAUACAAAAGGCACCAGAUGGCAAUGACAACAACUAGAUUUGCGAGGAUUUCAGUGGCCUUCUCGACCACCCUCAAUGCAUGCAGGUUAUCAAGUAUGGGAGAUGCUAGCUAGGAAGCCAUUUGGUGUCCUGUCCAAUGUCCACAAACAAGGUAUUGCUGAAUCUCAUCACCGUGUGUGCAAACUCCAGGUUCAUAUGUGCAGUUAGUUCAAGAAGCGCCCAUGGCAAAAAUUGUAUUACACAAAUCCAAACUAUAUAACCAGCGAUUUGUGGGUUUUCUUUGCAGAAGUUAAGGCAAUACCAGGAGAAACACCUGGUUCCUCAAUAUUUCCAUUCAUUGUUUCAAUUAACUGAUAUUUAAUCAGAUUGGAGCAAUUGGAUUAGAGUAGGCAUAUAGGAGGUUGAUCAGCUAGCAAGAAAUACCUUAUCUGAUCCACUAUUCAAGGUUAGCAUGGCGCUGAACAUCUCAGGCACGUGCCUGUGAUCUGUAGCACGUGCACAUCCACGUGCCAUCAUAAAUCCAUUAUAAUAUAUAAUGUCUCUUUGCUUUUUAUUGUUUCAAGUUAAAGCAUGUGCUAGCACGCACACUUUGCUGUACAAAGGGGGAAUAAAGGCACCUGCAAUUGGUGUAAAAGGGGGAAGACCCUGCAAUCAAAGGAUGAGAGCAUAGCUUAAGAAGAAAAGGUAUAUCCCUGGCCAAAAUUUAUAGCUUUAUUUGCUACAUUGGAUAAUCGAUUUAGACUGAAGCAUGUUGACACAUAGAUUAAUUAGGCCGGAUCUAUUUCUCUUGGAGCUGUCUGGUUGAAUUCACACAAUAAAUUGUAAUUCCAUCAUCAGUGUUCAGGCUGAAAUAACAUUGUAGGUUUGAUGGAUCUUUAUGAGAUUGUGUGUAUGCUAAUCAAUAAGGAUCUAACACUGUUUGUCUACAUACAAUGCUUCUUCACAGUUUGUUUACGAGGAGCCACAUGAAGACCUUUUUUUAAUAUGUCGCUGUGGAAAAAAGAAUUUUUCGCUCUUCAAACAAGAGGUGUUUCAAUAGGACAUACAAAAAUUAAUUCAUUUACCCAAUGAUUCCUGCCAACUAAACUAAAGAAAAUCAGUUCAUUUGUGGUGUGAUAAUUAUUUGCAGUGAGUUCCCGUUCAAAUCUCUAGGAGAAAUUGAUUUCAAUGUGGCAUCAAAUUCUGAAGGUCAAAGAGCAUUAUUAGAAGAUAUUGAUAUGAAUCUAGAACUAUAAGAAGUGGAUGCUGAAUUUUCUAUCAGUAAUAUUUUCAUUAGAUGUAUCAUUAGAGAGCAUUGUACAAUUAUUUGAUUCUUGUUAUGUUGAAUGCUUUUAAAAUAUCAGUAGAGAGUCUGUCUAUAAGUAGGAUCCUUUUUACAUCUCCAAGCAUUCAUUGAUGUUUUUGAAUAGUAGUCAUGUGAGGGAAGUAGAAGCUCUACUAUUUGAUUUACUUUCGGUCUGCUCACCUCCCCAGCGAUAGUCGUUCCAGUUGCCGAUUUGUAUAAUGUAUAUACUUCUAGAUGCAUUUUUUUUCAUUUGCAAAGCUAAUAAGUGUACAUAUACUCAUUCUCCUUCUCCCAUGCAUGUGCAUUUCUUCUCUUUUUUUUUUUCCUUCAAGGGAUUCUGAAGAUUUUAAUCCCCACAGAUAUGCUUCCAGUUUACCUCACCAAAUUACCUGUCUAGAUUGUUUUUGCAGGAAAAGAGUAUUCCUUCCAUUCGAUGCAUGCUGAAUGCUGUCACUAAUUAUGAAUUUACUUUAUGAAGAUUCCUAUCAAUUUCAGAUAUCUGAUUCCUUUGUUGAUGCCCAAGUAACUCAACAGUUUCAACUUUUGAAAUUUGAUGGCUCCCAAAUGUAGGGGCUGAAUCUGAGAAGAAUGGCAGCUAACUGAAUGUCCAAGCAAACUUCCAUAUGCCUCCAACGGUAGCGGCGCCGCCGGUACUUUGGUCUACGUGGAGGAGAGAGCAAGGCAAAAGGCAGCUCGCGAACUGCGAGGGAAGCUAUAGUCACAAACACAAACCGAUUUAAGUUAUGUGACAGUUGAAAAAACUUCUGAUCUGUGAAUAUAAAUUGAUUUUUUCCUAAUGUUCAAAUGCGUGUAAAAGAGGUUUCAUAUGUUUCUUGCAUAUUUCUCUCUGUUAGAGUA